rnacentral:rRNA from 1 species
UACGUAGGGCGCAAGCGUUGUCCGGAAUUAUUGGGCGUAAAGCGCGCGUAGGCGGUUACUCAAGUCGGAUGUGAAAGCCCUCGGCUUAACUGAGGAAGUGCACCCGAAACUGAGUAGCUAGAGUACUAAAGAGGGUCGCGGAAUUCCCGGUGUAGAGGUGAAAUUCGUAGAUAUUCGGAAGAACACCAGUGGCGAAGGCGACACACUGGGCCAUUACUGACGCUGAGGCGCGAAAGCGUGGGGAGCAAACAGG